AACGAACGCUGGCGGCGUGCUUAACACAUGCAAGUCGAACGCGAAAUUUUUCUUCGGAAGAAGAGUAGAGUGGCGCACGGGUGAGUAACGCAUAAGUUAUCUACCUCGGCAUCUGGAAUAACUCACCGAAAGGUGUGCUAAUACCGGAUACGUUGAGUAAUCAAGAGAGGUGGCCUCUGAAUAUGCUACUGUGCUGAGAUGAGCUUGCGUACCAUUAGCUAGUUGGUAGGGUAAUGGCCUACCAAGGCGACGAUGGUUAGCGGGUCUGAGAGGAUGAUCCUCCACACUGGAACUGGAACACGGACCAGACUCCUACGGGAGGCAGCAGUGAGGAAUAUUGCGCAAUGGGGGCAACCCUGACGCAGCGACGCCGCGUGGAUGAUGAAGGCCUUCGGGUCGUAAAAUCCUGUCAAGUGGAAAGAAGUGCAUAGUGGUUAAUACCUGCUAUGUUUGACGGUACCACCGAAGGAAGCACCGGCUAACUCCGUGCCAGCCGCCGCAGUAA
rnacentral:rRNA from 1 species